GGCUCAGUGGUCUAGUGGUAUGAUUCGCGCUUCGGGAAAAGGUUGUCCUACCAAGGAAUAGCCGGCCCUUCUGCUUAGCAGGAACAUGUGCGAGGUCUCGGGUUCGAUCCCCGACUGAGCCC